GGGGGGGGGGGGGGGGGGGGGGGGGGGGGGGGGGGGGGGGGGGCGGGGGGGGGGGUGGCUGCUGGGAUGGGCGCGGGGGACGGGUGAGUGACACGUGGGUGACCUACCUAUAGGACUGGGAUAACUGCGGGAAACCGGAGCUCAUACCGGACACUAUUUUGAACCGCAUUGUUCAACGGUGAAGGACGGUCUUGCUGUCACUUAUAGCUGGCGCCGCGCGGCACUAGCCAGUUGGUAAGGUAACGGCUUACCAAGGCAACGAUGCAUAGCCGACCUGCGAGGGUGAUCGGCCACACGGGAACUGAGACACGGUCCAGACUCCUACGGGAGGCAGCAGUAGGGAAUCUGCAGCAAUGGGCGAAAGCCUGACGGAGCAACGCCGCGUGAGUGAGGAAGGUCUUCGGAUCGUAAAACUCUGUUAUUAGGGAAGAACAUAUGUGUAAGUAACUGUGCACAUCUUGACGGUACCUAAUCAGAAAGCCACGGCUAACUACGUG
rnacentral:rRNA from 1 species